GUAUUAGUCAUUUAUAGAUGAAUUAUUGUAAUUAUUUUGGAGGCGUGACAGAAUCCCAAAUCUCGCUAGGCCUUUCUUGUUGGGCGAGCUCAUCCCAAAUCUCUCAGCUAUUUCGUCUAUCUCUUCCUAUCCCACAGGUAGAUGUAUCGUCGAAGAAAGCAUGGAAGUGAGAAGGAAUGGGAUAACCAGACGUUUCAAAGUUUAACCCUAAUUCCAUCCAAUUUUCUUACAAAUUCAAAGGUGAAACAAAAAUGAAGAGCUUCUCGACUAUGAAGAAGAGAAAGAGAAAGUCCCUGAAUCUGUCACAACCAAAGCCAGUUUUCUUUGCAUUGAGAUUUUGACAUGUCAGAUUAACUCGCAACUCCAUCGAAGAGGAAGAGGAUCAGAAAGUCCAUAACUCCAUCGCCACCAAAGCUAUGUGCAAAUUUGCCAAGAAGUCAAUUUAUGUUUCAUUCUCAACGAUAUAUGUAUUUGUGUGUGCACGCGCAUAUUGUUUAUCUUUAUUGCCUGUUGACAUGCUUAUUUUUCUUAAUUUUGAUCUUAUUAACUUUUGUAUUGAUAGUGAAAACUCAAUUUGUAAUUGCUAAUUUUUAGGGUACUUACUUACCUUUUUAUGUCCAUUUUCGUGCUUUCUUUUUAUCAUUGCUUUGAUUCAUUUGUCUCACUAGGAAAAUGAAAAUUACAAAGCAUGAGCAAAUUUACAUGAGAGGAACAAAGAGAGAUCUCAGUUAUAGGGAGUUAAUUGCACUUUACAAGGGAGUGCGAAAUGUCAAGUGGUUUCUCACAUACUCCACUGAGAUUAGUUUGGUGCAAUAGUGCCCCUCCAAGAGUCCCCAAGUUUUUUGGGUAUUGCAUCAAGAGAUUAGUUUAGACCAGAGUGUGAUAUUGGGAUAUGCUAACCUUUUUCUAUUGAGUGAUUAGUAGUUUUCUAUUGGAAUACCAGAACCAUUUCUGAAUUUAAGGAAAUAAUAAUUACAAUCAUAUGGUAGCAUCUUAGUUGUGUUUUUAAAGAAAUUAAUAAAAAGAUAACUAUCACACAAAUUUGCCUCUUUCCUUUUUUAAUAAAAACAAAAUUGCCUGUUGCUUGCAUUUUCAAUGCUUGUAGAAUGGUAGUUAACACAUGAUAGAUACAUAACACUAUUAAUAGCCUUCAAAACUUUGAUUAUAUAUUUUAUUGUUCUUCUAUUUGUUGGGCAUUAACAUUGUUGCUUCUUUGGUAUUGUGGAUAAAUUUCUAAUAAUAGUUCCAUGAGAUAAAAUGAUUUAGACAAUUCAAAACAUUCAGAUUUUGGAAGGAAAAUGAAUGACAAAAUAGUUUUGACAAUUAUGUUUUUACUAACAGCUUUGGAUGAAAUUUGCAAAAACUAAAGUUCAAGUAUGGCUGAAUAUUUGGAGAUGAACUUUCCAAAACCAGUUCUGUAGUUCAUCUAAUCAAUUAUUUUUUGUUAAUCUAAGACCCCAAAAAUGCUUUUAUACCUUGUUCUCUCUCUUUUAACUUGUCUUUGUAGUUGAGUUAUUUUUAUUAUUUUGCUUAUGUAUUUUCGUUCUAUUUGUUGUGUAGGGGCCCUAAAGUUUCAUCCAUAGUGCUCACAGUUAUUGCUGAAUAUACAAAACAACAAGCUACAAGUAACGCACAAUAGGAUAACAUUAAGAAUUAGUGAUCAAAGAUUAAGGAUCCUUUUAAAUAGAUGUAAAUUUCAAAUCAAGCAAUUUGAAGUUGCUUGAACCAUGGGCAUAGGCUAUCGUGCAAAGCACCUCGCAACUAGUAAUUAUAUAUGUUCUAGAUUUGAGAGAAAAGUUGUGAGGUAGUUGUGCGGCAAAUUUUCUCAAGUGGGUUGUUAUGAGGUAUAGCGAUUCUGGUUUUAACCCGACCCUUUUGUAUCUUGGACUCGGGUUUCGUGAUUUUGUAGUGUUGUUCAAGUCUUUUUCCCUUCAAACUUCCUUGAGUUUGGCUAUUGGAUUGUAAUGGUUGCGUUUGGAACAAGUUGGUUGCUUGAUUUUGAAACUUUGGUUGCCCAGAAUUUUACUCCUUCACUCGAGCAACACUUCUUGCGCUCGAGCGGGCUUUCUGAGCUCUCAGUACUUUUGCAGGUUUGCAAAACUACUGGGCGAGUGUAUUCUACAUUCGAGCGGUGCUUUCUGCACUUGAGCGGUCUUUAUUGCGCUCGAGCGUUGGUCAAUUGUAUGCAAAACUACUGGGAGUGUGCAUUCUGUGCUCGAGCGUCACUUCUUGCGCUUGAGUAAAACACACUCGAGUGGACUGUGCGUAUAUCAGUUCGCAGCAACACCUUUCUACAUCACAUUUUCACAUCUUUUUCUCUCAAAACCCUAGAUCUAGAGCCUCUUUCUCUAAAACUCUCUCUCUCUCUCUCUCUACAUUUUCACCUUGAUCCGUUGGUCUCUCUACCCCAGUGUCUUUAAGAAAAAGGUAGAGCAUCUUAAGAGCUUUACUUUGGUCCGAACAAAACUUGGUUUCGGCGUCUUCGAAGUUUCUUCCUUGCUUUGCUCAUCUUCUAAACUUGAGGUAGGGAUUUUUUACACUCUUUUAUGAGUUUUAACUUAGUUAUCUGUUGAUGUGUAAAGAAUAUUGGAAUUUUAGAUUAUUUUGAAUAAACCUAAGGUUUUGGUUUAAAAAAAAAAAAAAAAGGGGUCUUCAAAUGUAUGUGUUAAAUAUGAGAGUAGAUGUGAGAUUGUGUUGUGAUAAAUUUGUUGAUUUUGAUACCCGGGGUAGAUUUUGGGAGAAAUGUGAGUUUGCCCUAAAAUGCCUCAAAUAGCUAGUUUGUAU